ACGGUCGUCAGGACUUCAUACACUUUUUAUGGCUUAACUUGCACAUCUGUUCAUCUCUGCUAUAACAGUCAGUGCGCUAGGAUAAAUCAGCCAUGAGGAUGAAAAUACCGAAAGAAAAAAAAACAAGUCAGUGCUAUAACGUGACUUCCAGGAUUUUUAUCUUGACACAUGAAGUUAUUUGACGGUAAGGUGACCGAUUUACGUGCCAUGACAAGUUAUUGGAAUAAAUGGUCGUUGAUUGUCUACUUUUAUACUCAUACAGCAAAACGAAAAGGCUUUCCGAUUUGUAAACCCACUAGGUAGAAGCAGUAGGUAGAAGGGUAGAAGUAUUUAUAAUGUCGUUUUUCUGCCUUCAUUUCCAAAUCCGGUUAAGUUCUUGACCAGUCCGCAGCGCAAUAAACUUCUGCAUCAGCCUCUAUUGAAUCUGUAUCAACCGGAAAUAACAAGAAAAUGGCGUGUCGUUGUGUGUCGGUUUUCGUCGUCGUUCGUGGGCCAGCGGUCUUCGAUUCUGGGUAGUCUACCUGGAAUCGAGCCGUUGGCCUUCGGCGAUAUGAUGACUACUUCUAGGAGGAAACAAUUCUUUACUGGAGCCUUAACUUAAGAAACAAAAGCGAGAAAAAAAAAAUAUAUACUUGUAGAGUGUCUAAUUAUACACAUGUAUCAAAUAA